rnacentral:rRNA from 1 species
UACGUAGGGGGCAAGCGUUGUCCGGAAUUAUUGGGCGUAAAGCGCGCGCAGGUGGUGGAUUAAGUUGGGGGUAAAAGGCAAUGGCUCAACCAUUGUAAGCCUGCAAAACUGGUUCACUUGAGUGCAGGAGAGGGGAGUGGAAUUUCUAUUGGAGGGAUAAAAUACGUUGAUAAUAGAAGGAAGGCCUAAAGCGAAGGCAAUUAUCUGGGUAUAUACUGACACUGAGAAACGAAAGCUUGGGUAGCAAACGGG